GAUAAACGCUGGCGGCGCACAUAAGACAUGCAAGUUGAACGGACUUAAUCGAAAUAUUUAUCUUUUGAAGCGGUUAGUGGCGGACUGGUGAGUAACGCGUAAGGAACCUACCUAUUAGAGGGGAAUAACAGUGAGAAAUCAUUGCUAAUACCGCAUAUGUCAUAGAUAUCACAUGAUAACAGUGGGAAAGGAGCAAUCCGCUAAUAGAUGGCCUUGCGUCUGAUUAGAUAGUUGGUGGGGUAACGGCCUACCAAGUCGACGAUCAGUAGCCGGACUGAGAGGUUGAACGGCCACAUUGGGACUGAGAUACGGCCCAGACUCCUACGGGAGGCAGCAGUCGGGAAUAUUGCGCAAUGGAGGAAACUCUGACGCAGUGACGCCGCGUAUAGGAAGAAGGUUUUCGGAUUGUAAACUAUUGUCGUUAGGGAAGAGAAAGGACAGUACCUAAGGAGGAAGCUCCGGCUAACUACGUG
rnacentral:rRNA from 1 species